rnacentral:rRNA from 1 species
GAGUUUGAUCCUGGCUCAGAACGAACGCUGGCGGCAGGCUUAACACAUGCAAGUCGAACGCCCCGCAAGGGGAGUGGCAGACGGGUGAGGAACACGUGGGAACGUACCCUUCGGUUCGGAACAACCCUGGGAAACUAGGGCUAAUACCGAAUACGCGCUUAGGCGGAAAGGUUUACUGCCGAAGGAUCGGCCCGCGUCUGAUUAGCUAGUUGGUGAGGUAACGGCUCACCAAGGCGACGAUCAGUAGCUGGUCUGAGAGGAUGAUCAGCCACAUUGGGACUGAGACACGGCCCAAACUCCUACGGGAGGCAGCAGUGGGGAAUAUUGGACAAUGGGCGCAAGCCUGAUCCAGCCAUGCCGCGUGAGUGAUGAAGGCCCUAGGGUUGUAAAGCUCUUUUACCCGGGAAGAUAAUGACGGUACCGGGAGAAUAAGCCCCGGCUAACUUCGUGCCAGCAGCCGCGGUAAUACGAAGGGGGCUAGCGUUGUUCGGAUUUACUGGGCGUAAAGCGCACGUAGGCGGACGCUUAAGUCAGGGGUGAAAUCCCGAGGCUCAACCUCGGAACUGCCUUUGAUACUGGGUGUCUCGAGUCCGGAAGAGGUGAGUGGAACUGCGAGUGUAGAGGUGAAAUUCGUAGAUAUUCGCAAGAACACCAGUGGCGAAGGCGGCUCACUGGUCCGGAACUGACGCUGAGGUGCGAAAGCGUGGGGAGCAAACAGGAUUAGAUACCCUGGUAGUCCACGCCGUAAACGAUGGAUGCUAGCCGUUGGAUCGCUUGCGAUUCAGUGGCGCAGUUAACGCUUUAAGCAUCCCGCCUGGGGAGUACGGUCGCAAGAUUAAAACUCAAAGGAAUUGACGG